CCUUUUUAUGUACCAGGAACUAUCCGAGCUCCUGGAGAUGCUGUUUUGGACAAGAUAGAAAAGCGAGCCCCUGGUCCUCAUGGAGCCCACAUCCUUACAGAAUAUCAAAAUUAGACAGAGUCAGUCUGUGACCAUGAUGGAUCAAGGCAAGAUCGAGCCCACCCACAACGAUGUCUGAAUAAAAAACAUGAACAUCGUCCACACCACAAGAAAAGUCACGUCCUGGCUGAGAGGAAGAGUUAUGAUGGCAGAGAAGUAGGGGGACCAGGAUUUCCCUCAACCCACAACACGGCAGUAUUGAGGUCAACCCACAACACAAAGUCGGUCUGCAGAGUGACGGAAAAAUGUCUACAGGUGGAGGGAGACAGCUUGGAGGGACUGAGGUGCGUGUAUGCAAAUUGGGGGAGACCAAACAGUGUGGGCACGGAGGGGAGGGAACCCCUUCUGCCAGAGACAAAAGGGAGAGAAAGAGAAGCUGUGGAUUGCAGUAUUGUUCAUACAAGAGAAAAACCUGUCCGGACCCUGGACAGGGGAAUGAGAAAUACAGAGUGUGCCAGUUUCUACUUUGUGAACGGCCUUAGGAGCUGAAGGCUGGAGUUCUCAAAAGUGCGGGACUUUUCUCCUGACCGAGGCUUCUGCCUGGCCUGGAGGUGGGGAGCCAGCCCUGGGGUAUGGUAGCCAUCUCAGGGGUGCACUGUGAGCAAACGGUCUCCUGCCUUCAGUACUGUGGGAAGAGGGUAUAUUGCCCCCAACAAGGACGAAAGACCCUGCGGGCGGCACCAGCCGUAUGGGCAGGGCAGAGUGGCACUACCCCGGAACCUGGUCCAUGUGGUGUGGGAUCCUUUAAGACAUCAGGCUCUGAAU